AAUCAACGCUGGCGGCGUGCCUCAGACAUGCAAGUCGAACGCGAAAUUUCCCUUCGGGGAGAAAGUAGAGUGGCGCACGGGUGAGUAACACGUAGGUAAUUUGCCUUUGGGUGGGGAAUAACUCAGGGAAACUUGAGCUAAUACCGCAUAAUGCAGCGGCUCGACAUCGAGACAGUUGUUAAAGCGGGGGAGUCGCAGACCUCGCGCCUAAAGAGAAGCCUGCGGCAGAUUAGCUAGUUGGUAAGGUAAUGGCUUACCAAGGCGACGAUCUGUAACCGGCCUGAGGAGGGCGGUCGGUCACACUGACACUGACAUACGGGUCA
rnacentral:rRNA from 1 species